UCCUCUAAUUUUAUUACAGUGAACCCAACUACAUCAGACCAAAUGAAAUCAAGGGCUAAUGAGUUCCUUCCGUUUCCAUUUUCGGUCCAUCCUCAAGCGCCUCUCUCUCUCUCUCUCUCUCCCUCAAACUAUAGGCUUCACCAGAAAUUGCUCUCUGCGCAGCGUUUUUCGGACUACUUUAUAGUUCUAGAAGCAAGGAGGCGAACAAACAUAGCCACCCAAUCACCACGAGAGCCAAGUGGAAGAAGAAUGCAUAGGAGGUUGAAGAGGAAGCGCCAAAAGAUGAGGCAGCGAUCCAAGUAGUUCUGCUAUCAAUAAAUUGUCAUUUUCUAUCUAAUGUUUGGUGAUUAGAGAUUUGUAGUGUUCCCUGCGUUUUUACUUUUUGAUUUUUUUGUCGAUUUUCAUUUAUAACUUUUCUUAUUUUUUGGUAUUUCGGGAUGCAUCUGCGUCUGCUAUUUCGAUACAUUUGCUUUUGCCUCUAUUCUCCCUAUGCUAUUUGUUUUUUUGGUGAUUACAUAUGCGUAAGUCUUUCUUUAUUUUUUACUUUUUUUCAUUUUUUGUAAUUUAAUCUGUUCGAUUUUAAUUAUCGUGGGUAUGGAGUCUGGAUUGCUACAGAUUUGAGCCUUCCAGGAUGCAUACCAUACUGGAUCAAAUAAACGCCUCAUUUUUUCUGUUGGCGAUGUCUUUGGUAUUUUUGUUGAGGAAAUCAUUGAUGGAUUCGAUUCGUUCUUCGUAACUUGUCCAACAAUUUUUUACAAAUCCAAGGUUCAAGAAAAAAGAAAAUGCAUAAAUUGGCAUGAUAGAGCUUGCUGAGAGUGAGGAGAGAGACCUUGAGGAGAGGGAACUGAAAUUAUAAUAUGAUUUUACAGUAAAUUAUAUGAAAUCGCUAAUGUGUCUCUUUAUUUUAUGGGUAAAAUAAAAUUGUUUCCCUUCUUUUUAGGUGAUACUUGAACAUUUGAUCGAUUUAAAGUUGUGAAAUUUAAUUUAUUUAGAAUUUUAUUUUGUGUUGUUUUUCUCCCUUCCGACACAUGCGAAUUUUCACUUUUGACUAUGAUCGGCACCUGUGCUGAAAUUUCAGUCCCGAGGACACACAUUGAUGAUGAGUAUUCAAAUGCAGUGGAAAGAGAUCCUAAAAUUUUAAUAAUUACAUCCCGUAAUCCAAGUGAUCCACUUACACAGUUUCUAAAGCUAGGUGAAAGGACAGCAAACAUUUUGAAGUAUCUUUUCCCCAUGCCAAAGCCAGAUACCAAACGCAUUAUAACCUUUGUUAAUAUGUCUGACUAUAUUUUGUUCAGAUUGGUUUGUUGCUUGAUGUCGCUGUGAAAGAUCUGGUUAUACAGCUGCUUUCACAGAUUAGGUAUUAUUUAGGUUGCCUCCUCAAGUAGUGACACAUGUUAUUGAUGGCUUGAUAACAAGAGAGAUUCAAGCUUGUACAUUCAAAAUGUCCAGAUUUUCAAGUAAAAUUGAAAAUAGAUUAUGGGACUUGUACAGAAGGCGAGCUUUGAGUACAUAACUUGUGACUUGUUAAAAAAAUAAGGAAAAAUAUACUUUUCACCCAAA